GACGAACGCUGGCGGCGUGCUUAACACAUGCAAGUCGAACGGAAAGGCCCUGCUUUUGUGGGGUGCUCGAGUGGCGAACGGGUGAGUAACACGUGAGUAACCUGCCCUUGACUUUGGGAUAACUUCAGGAAACUGGGGCUAAUACCGGAUAGGAGCUCCUGCUGCAUGGUGGGGGGUGGAAAGUUUCGGCGGUUGGGGAUGGACUCGCGGCUUAUCAGCUUGUUGGUGGGGUAGUGGCUUACCAAGGCUUUGGCGGGUAGCCGGCCGGAGAGGGUGACCGGCCCCAUGGGGACAGGGAUCGCGCCCAGGCUCGUACGGGGGGCAGCAGUGGAGAACAUUGCACAAUGGGCGGCAGCCUGAUGCAGCAACGCCGCGUGCGGGAUGACGGCCUUCGGGUUGUAAACCGCUUUCGCCUGUGACGAAGCGUGAGUGAGGGUAAUGGGUAAAGACGCACCGGCGAACUACGU
rnacentral:rRNA from 1 species